CCCAUGACCCUCAAAGCCUCUUAUUCCUUAACUCAUUUUUAUAUUCCCCUAAAGAGCCCUAGAACUCAUCCCGUAACAGAUCUCACAAUAGGUUAACCCCAAAUCUUUUCUUUCGAUUUCUACCAUUCGGAGGAUGAACGCAGCGAAUUUCAUUUUUCUCUCCGACUUCAGUAGUCAUUAGCACGUAUUCACUAGCCGAAUUCUAAAAGCACAAGGUCAGUGAUUACUCGUUGAUGACCACUGUUGGUCAGAGAAACCCUUGACCAAGCGUUUGUUUGCAUUUUCAAAAGGUAACCUCGAAAUCUUUGCUUUGUUUUUCGUUUUCGUUUAAACCCAUCUUGUGGUGUUUUUCAAUUUCUGUUAAAAUCGUCAAAAAAAUAAAUAAUUGCAUGUUCUCGUUUAAAGUUUAUAAUCUGUCCGGUUUCGCACCUUUAACUUGCAAAUAGUUAUAUAAAUUAUGUUUUGAUGUUUUGUUUAAUAGUUUGUUUCUAAUUUUCUUUGUUAUUAGAUUUUUUUUUUUUUGGUUUGGUUUAUUUUUGUUUAUUGUUUAGACCUCAAUCUUAGUUAAAUGAGUUUAGUUUUUUUAACCAGAGUUCAAGUUAGGAAUAAUUUAGAAUCAGUUGGUUAAAGAAGUUUUGAAAGGGCAUGGGUAAUUAUAAGGAAUAGGAAGGGUAAUUUUGUAUUUAAAAAUUAUGAAAUAUUUUCUGUUAUAAAUAAGAGAGAGAAGAGAACUGUCUCUGAAGGACAUAAAAUAAAAACGGUUUGGGAAUCUGGGGUAUAAGUGAACAAAAAUAAAGUUUAAAAGGUAUAACUGAAUUAGAAAAAUCAGGUUUGGUUGCCCUAAAAAUCUUGUUAUAAAAGGUCUCAUUCUCACCCAUUUUGGUGAGAAAAAACUUAGAAAAAAGGGUCAUACGGUUGCUAGCAAUUUAGGUUCCAAAUCUGAGUUUUAAUAGCUGCAAAAACACUCCAAAAAUAGAAAGAAAACAAUCAAGAAAGAGGGAUUAAAAGCUGAUUCUAACCUCUUUGGACUCUUGCAUCAUUUCUGGAUUCAAAAAGCUUGGUUUGAUUUGAAAGAUGUUGGUUUUACUGUUGCUGUCACUCUGUUGUUUAGAUGGGAUUUGGAUUGUUCUCAUGAUUUCUGCUGUUGAUCUGUUUUGAGCUCACUCAAUAGCUGUUUUCCUUGGCCUUUAUUUGGCAAAAGUUCAGCUUGAUUUACAAGUUUAGGUACAUACCUCUCACUCGUAUUUUGUUCUGAUUUUGUAAAUUUUACCUCUUACCAUUUAAUUGAAGGAAAUUUACGAUUUUAAAAAUACUAAAAUGAGUAAUUAAGUUAAACUUUUAUUGUUGGCUUGCGUGACAGUGGUGUUAGGCGCCAUCACGACCUUUAAUGGAUUUUUGGUCGUGACACCCUAUGUCUAAAAUAAAAUCAAUUAAGGGGUGAAGACCCUAUGUUAGAAAAGUGACUAGGGAGUGAAGACCCUAUGUCAGAAAAUUAAAUCAACUAGGGAGUGUAGACCCUAUGUCAGNNNNNNNNNNNNNNNNNNNNNNNNNNNNNNNNNNNNNNNNNNNNNNNNNNNNNNNNNNNNNNNNNNNNNNNNNNNNNNNNNNNNNNNNNNNNNNNNNNNNNNNNNNNNNNNNNNNNNNNNNNNNNNNNNNNNNNNNNNNNNNNNNNNNNNNNNNNNNNNNUGGAAAAGAGACUAGGGAGUGGAGACCCUAUGUUGGAAAAGAGACUAGGGAGUGGAGAUCCUAUGUUGGAAAAGAGACUAGGAAGUGGAGACCCUAUGUCUAAAAUAAAAUCAACUAGGGAGUGGAGACCCUAUGUUGAAAAACGCAGCUAGGGAUUGGAAACCCUAUACUACCAUGAUUUUGAACUUUUUUUUUUUACUAAGAGAAUGAGUAAAAUGCGGGAAAGAAUUUGGAAAAGACUUCCCUUUCAGAGUUGUUGCUGCUGCAGAGCUGUUUCUAGCCCCCGCAAUUUCUUUUUGGUUGCACCUGCUUCUUGCAAGGUUGCUUUUGGAUUGCACACGUUUCCUAUUUUUCAAACAAAGAACAAUUGUUAGUUUGAAACAAUGGUUGAUUUUGUGGCAUUGAGUGUUUCGGUCACUUGAUCUCGGUCCGGCUUCUUUGAUGAUGAUUUCAAAUGCAACUGGUUGUUUCCUGGAUACCGAUUGCAUUUCUGACCCUGGAGAACCUUUGGCUUUUUUGAAACUCUACCAUGACGAUUGGUCAUGUGGGACUUAACCUUUUCCAACUUUAUUUUGCCUUUGUAGGCCUUUGACUUCUUUCUCCCAAUUUUAAAUUCAGAGCAACGGGGAAUCCUUGGCUUUUCAAACCUUGCCACGACGGUUAGUCGCGUGGGACUCAACCUUUUCAACUUCAUUUUUGCUCUUGUAGGCACUUCAAUUUGAUUUCCUUCUUUCGAGAGUUUUCAAUUUCAAAACAUCAGCUACCAUGCCCAGUCGGGGUCAACUUGAUAUCCCUGGCGAGGUUGGGUACCUUUUUGCAUAUUAGCUUGUAUCAAAUAAGAACCCUGUAAAUCCGUCUUACCAUCCCUUCUUCGUCUUAGUUUCGGAACAGAGUUAGACCGAAAGGGAUUCAAAGAAAAACAAACAAUGGAAUGGACAAUGAAUUUAAACAAGAGGUAUCCCUUUCGGGGAAAGGAAAGAAGGACUUAUUUGGAGUACAUGCGGACUUCAAUGAACAUGACAUGCCUUUUGGACUGGAUGCCUGAUCUAUGUAAACCGUCCGACUCUCAUAAAUUCAUCACAACUUUUGCCUCGAAACCGAGAAACCUUGCCACGGACUGUGUCGAUGCCAAUGGCUGUGAGGAACCUCUUUUCGAUCAGUGGCGUCCUUUGCGGAUUUUCACUAGCUGACCUAUCUCAUUUCUCUUCUCACCGUCGCCUUAUAAUGCGCCUUGCAAGUUUUCACUAACAAGACUCUCAUUUUAAUUUCUCUACUUACCAUCGCCUUACGGUGCCCGCGAGGGUUUUCACCAAUAAGACUCUCUUAUUGUAUUUCUCUUAUUUUAGUUGCAUCAGAUCCAAGUAACUGUAUCCUUCAAUUUUGAACAUCUUUGCCGAUUAAUCGGAAGGACUUGAAAAGGAUUUGGGUAAAACGAAUUUGGAUUGAAUUACAACUUUGGAACCUUUCAGGCGAAACUAUCGCCGAACAUUUAUAACAUCUGCCCUAGUUUCAACUUUUGGGGGAAUGUGAAUUUUUAUUUUGGUGUGACUGAAUCCCAGAAAGAGGCUGCCUACGUAUCCUUUCGGAAUCAAGUCGAACGUAGUUCAAGGAACUUUGUUUUUGAGUUCUUUUGUUUUUCUUUUCUUUGUUUCUUUUUUGUUUUCAUUUUUCUUUUUCUUUUUUUCUUUUUUUUUUUUAAUUUUUUUUUAUAUACAACUUCCAGGUUCCAAAGAGGGUAAUCAAAGAAAGGGAACCGGCUCGACGGGUUUGCAAAGGGCUGGUAAUGUUUGGAUAGCGAGAAGGAAAGCCUUCGUCAUCCUAAUCAGAGCAUGUUAAAGCUGUAAAACGGGUUAAACGUAGUACUUUUUGACUGCGUCUACAUUGACAGAUGUCUCGGGGUCAUUUCUUUCGAUGUUUCCCAAAUACAACGCUCAAUUUGGCAAUACUCUUCUUAUAAUGUAUGGACCUUUCCAAUUUGGAGCAAAUUUUCCUUUGGCUUCUUCAUGAUGCGGGAGAAUACGUCUCAGAACGAGUUGCCGUGCACUUUCUUGUUGUAGGCACGGGUCAUUCUUUGUUGGUACAGCUGCCCGUGGCAAACUGCGGCCAUCCGCUUUUAAUCAAUCAUAGACAACUGUUCUAAUCGGGUUUUGACCCAUUCAUCAUCCUCGAUCUCGGCUUCAACAAUUAUCUGAAGAGAGGGGAUCUCAACUUCUGCAGGUAUUACGACUUCAGUGCCAUAAACCAAUAAAUAAGGCAUGGCUCCGACUAAUGUACACACGGUUGUGCGAUAUCCCAAUAGUGCAAAGGGCAACUUUUCAUGCCAUUGUCUGGAACUCUGAAUCAUUUUACUGAGAAACUUCUUGAUGUUCUUGUUUGCAGCUUCAAGGACGCCAUUAACUUUGGGCCGGUAAGGGGUAGAAUUACGAUGCGUAAUUUUAAAUUGUUCGCAUACCUCCCUCAUAAAAUGGUUGUUCAGAUUUGCAGCAUUGUCUGUAAUGAUAGUUUUAGGAAUACCAAAACGACAAAUAAUGUUGGAAUGCACGAAAUCCACCACUGCUUUCUUGGUGACGGCUUUGAAAGUGACUGCUCCGACCCACUUUGUGAAAUAAUCAAUGGCAACCAAGAUGAAUCUGUGCCCAUUUGAAGCUUUCGGCUCGAAUGGACAAAUAACAUCCAUGCCCCAAGCAACGAACGGCCAAGGCGCCGACAUAGGAUGUAACUUUGAAGGCGGUGCAUGAUUCAGGUCACCGUGUAUCUGGCACUGAUGGCACUUCCAGACGAAACUGAAGCAAUCCUUUUCCAUGGUCAUCCAGUAAUAACCUACCCGAAGGAUUUUCUUUGCUAGGACAUACCCAUUCAUAUGAAGUCCACAUACUCCCGAGUGCACUUCGUUCAUGAUCUUGUUAGCUUCUUGGGAAUCUACGCACCUCAAAAGAUUCAGAUCUGGAGUUCUUUUGUAUAUGACUUCUCUACUCAAAAAGAAACUGCUUGCAAGCCUUCUGAUAGUUCUCUUUUGAUCUCCACUGGCCUACUCGGGAUAUUUUUUUGUUUUCAAAAACCUUUUGAUAUCAUGAUACCAUGGCUGAACGUCUGGCUCCAUUUAAAUUGCGUUACAAUAACCAUGCCUUUCUCGAAUUUGGAUUUCCAGUGGGUCAAUAUGGACAUUACCCGGGUACGGCAGCAUUGAGGCCAAAGUAGCUAGUGCAUCAACUAGCUCAUUGUGGAAUCGAUGAAUAUACCUGAACUCGACAGACAUGAACCGUUUGCUAAGAUCUUCCACAUGUUGCCUGUACGGGAUGAGUUUGAUGUCUCGAGUUUCCCAUUCACCUUGGGCUUGCCGAAUGAUCAAAUCAGAAUCCCCCAUGAUUAACAAUUCCUCUACAUCCAGAUCAACUACCAUGUUCAUGCCCAGGAUACAGGCUUCAUACUCGGUGGUGUUGUUUGUACAGAAGAAACGGAGCCUGGAUGUGCCCAGAUAGUGUUACCUGUGGGCGAAAUCAGAAUUGCUCCAAUCCCGACACCUUUUGCAUUUACAGCCCCAUCAAAGAACAUUUUUCAGACAUUGGUGUCCUCUAGAACUACUUCAACUGAAUUUACUUCCUCGUCCGAAAAGUAAGUGCUUAGGGGUUGGUAUUCAUCAUCGACCGGGUUUUCAGCUAGGUGAUCCGCCAAGGCAUGGGCUUUCAUCGCCGUGCGGGUGACAUAGACUAUGUCAAACUCAGUGAGCAGGAUCUGUCAUUUUGCUAACCUUCCCGUGGGCAUCGGUUUUUGGAAUAUAUACUUCAGAGGAUCCAUCCUGGUUAUGAGAUAUGUUGUGUAAGCCAAGUUAGGGCGCAACAAUUUCUUUCCAACAAAGUGUAUUUGGUUUCAUAACUGGUGAACUUCUUGCUCAUAUAAUAUAUGUCUUGCUCUCUCUUCCCGGCCACAUCGUGUUGCCUCAGGACACAACCGAAAGAAUUUUCCAAGGCUGUUAGGUACAAGAACAAAGGUCUCUUCGGCUCGGGUAGAACCAACUCUGGCGGAUUUGAUAAAUAUUCUUUGAUUUUGUCAAAAGCUUCUUGACACUCAUCUGUCAAUCUGAUUGUCGCGUCUUUCUUUAACAACUUAAAUAUGGGCUCACACGUGGUAGUAAGCUGAGCAAUGAAUCUACUGAUGUAAUUCAAUCUUCCUAUCAGACUCACGACCUCUUUCUUGGUUUUUGGAGGUGGCAAAUACCGAAUAGACUUUAUCUUUGUUGGAUCUAACUCAAUACCCCUCCGACUGACUAUAAACCCUAGAAGAUUUCCAGAUAGAACUCCAAAUGCACAUUUAGCCGGGUUCAAUUUCAAGUCAUACCUGCGCAGACGCUCAAAGAAUUUCCUCAGAUCUCGCACAUGACCUUCUUGCGUUCUGUAUUUAAUGAUCACAUCAUCCAUAUACACCUCAAUUUCCUGGUGCAUCAUGUCAUGGAAGAUGACAGUCAUAGCUCUCAUGUAGGUUGCCCCGGCGUUUUUCAGACCAAAUGGCAUGACCCUGUAACAGUAAGUGCCCCAAGGUGUGGUGAAAGCCGUCUUUUCUGCAUCUUCUUCAUCCAUCAGAACCUGGUGGUACCCAGCAUAAUAAUCCAUGAAAGAUUGUGUCUCAUGUUUAGCACAGUUGUCAACAAGAAGUGAAUAUUCGGCAGUGGAAAGUUGUCCUUGGGACAUGCUUUGUUCAAAUCCCGGUAAUUAACACACACUCGGGUUUUACCAUAUUUCUUCGGCACUGGAACCACAUUAGCCAACCACGUGGUGUAUCGCACUACCCGAAUCAUACCGACUUUUAGUUGUUUGGUGACUUCUUCUUUGAUCUUAUUGCUGAUGUCGGUUUUGAACUUUCUCUGCUUCUGUUGAAUGGGUGGAUAACCAGGAUAAGUGGGCAAUUUAUGUACCACCAAAUCAACUCUCAGCCCCGGCAUAUCAUCAUAAGACCAUGCAAACACGUCUUUGAAUUCAAACAAAAGUUGGAUCAAGUCAUCUCUAGUUCUUUCAUCGGCGUGAAUGCUUAUCAUGAUUUCUCGGACCUCUUCUGGACUGCCCAAGUUAACUGGCUUGGUUUCAUUUAAGUUUGUCUUAGGCUUAUUCUAUUGUUCCAAUUCGCGAUUUAUUUCCCUAAAAGCCUCAUCUUCAUCAUAUUAUGGUUCUUGAUUCAUUAUUUCACAGUUAGACAACAUUUUAGGAUCUAGGCAUGAAGUCCGCAAGCAUGUCAUGUUAUUUAAGUCCGCAUUAUUAGAACUGAAAAGAAAAGAUAAGAAAAAUAACAAAAUCAGAAUAAAGAAAAGAGACAUCUGUGGACGAUGAAAUAUUGAUUCCAUUUCAUUGAAUUGAAGAUAUGAGGGUUUACAUCAAAAUCAAAGACAGUAAAGUAAAAACAUUCGAGUUACACCCUAAAAUAACUCGUAAUGUAGAAGAAAUGGCAAGACUGGUGUAACGACCAAGUCGGUCGUUUUGAGUAUUACAGUCACGUUCCCCCAUUUACUGCUUAUCCUGUGUUCAAUUAUAAUAAUAUGACUUGCCGGGGGAAUUGCAGAAUGAAGUGGAACACUUAGUUCCAAGACUAAAAGCUUAAGUUGAAAUAGUUGACCGGAUAUUGACUUAUAUGUAAAAGACCCCGGAAGAGGGUUUUGAUGAUUCCAAUAGAUCUGUAUGGUGAUUCUGGACUUAGGAGCGUGUCGAGAAAAUUAUUUGGAAGUUCGUAGUUCAAUUAGGCUUGAAAUGGCUAAAAUAGAAAUGUAAGUUUGGAAGUUUGACCGGGGAGUUGACUUUUUGAUAUCGGGGUCGGAAUCCGAUUCUGGAAAUUUGAAUAGGUCUGUUAUAUCAUUUAUGACUUGUAUGCAAAAUUUGAGAUCAAUCGGACUUGGUUUGAUAGGUUUUGACAUCUAAUGUAGAAGUUAAAAAUUCUUAAGUUUCAUUAAACUUGAAUUGGGGUAUGAUUCGUGGUUUUAGCGUUGUUUGAUGUGAUUUUAGGUUUCGACUAAGUUCGUAUGAUGUUUUAGGACUUGUUGGUGUAGUUGGUCGAGGUCUCGGGGGUCUCGGGUGAGUUUCAGAUGGUUAACGGAUAAAUAUUUGGACUUGGAACUUUGCUGGAAUUUUCUGAAGUCUGAACCUGGUUUCCUUCUACGCGAUCGUGUGAGAAGGUCCGCGAUCGCGUAGGCUUAGCUGGGCAGAGGAGAAAUUUCCCUUCGCGAUCGCGUGAAUGGGGCUACGAUCGCAUAGCUUUGGAUGCCAGUUUAUCGCGAACGCGUGGGUAAUGUCGCGAUCGCGUAGUGUAUAGGAGGCAGAAGCUAGGCCACGCGUUUUGUUCUUCGCGAUCGCGUGGACAAGUUUGCGAUCGCGAUCGCGUAGGGUUGAGGAAGCUUUGCUUCGCGAUCGCGUGAAGGAGUCCGCGAUUGCGUAAGGUAAAAAUUUUGGCAUGAGAAAAUUGUUCUUCGCGAUCGCGUGAGUUGCUCCGCGAUCGCAUAGAAGAAAUCACUGGGCCGACAUUCCAGCUUAAAUGAGUAGCCUACCAGUGGUGGCGGGCAUACGAGUUGGAUAGUCCGGCUGAGGCAGCUUCACUCACUUGGACUUAGUUUUCAGAUAUGUUCCUGAGGGAUUAUGUUCCUUAGAGUCUUAGAGAUGCAUGGCGCGGAGGGUUUGAGCAGUUGCGCCAGGGUUCUAUGACCGUGUCAGAAUGUGCGGUCCGAUUCAAUGAUUUGGCUAGGCAUGCACCAGCCUUGGUUGCUACUAUUCGAGAGCGGGUUCGCCGAUUUAUUGAGGGGCUCCACCCUAGUAUAAGAUUCAGUAUGGCUCGAGAAUUGGAGAUGGACAUCGCAUACCAGCAGGUGGUGUCAAUUGCUAGGAGAUUGGAGGGUAUGCAGAUCCGGGAGAGAGAAGAGAGGGAAGCUAAGAGACCCUGAGAUUCUGGCAUGUAUAACAGUUCUCGUGCCCCAUCUACAGCUCAUCAGGGUAGGGGUUAUGAGAGUCCUGUUCAUUCAGUACUUCCAGCCGCCAGCGGUACUCCGGCCAUUCCUAGGCCCUAGGAUCCCUAUUAUGCACCGCUAGUGUCUAGUGUAGCUCCUGUACGGGGUGCUUCCAGUGGUCCAUCUAGUCGAUCAGGACCGAGCCAGUCACAACAGACACGUCCUCCGAGAGCUUGUUUUGAGUGUGGUGACAUUCAUCAUAUGGUGAGGUAUUGCCCCAGAUUCAGGAGGGGUGCACCUCCACAGGUUUCGCAGGCUGCACAUAUUCUACAGGGCCCUCAGACUUCUCAGGCCAUGAUUACUGCACCAGUUGCCACUCCACCUGCACAGCCAGCUAGAGGUGGAGGUCGGACAGGUAGAGGUCGCCCUAGAGGGAGAGGCCAUGCCAGAUAUUAUGCCCUUCCUGCUAUGACAGGGGCAGUCACAUCCGAUUCUGUUAUCAUAGGUAUUGUUCCGGUCUAUCAUAGAUAUGCAUCUAUCUUAUUUGAUCCAGGCUUCACUUAUUCUUAUGUGUCAUCUUAAUUUUCCCCGUAUUUAGGCGUAUCCCGUGAUUCUUUGAGCUCUUCUGUUUAUGUAUCUACACCCAUGAGUGAUUCUAUUAUUAUUGAUUGCGUGUAUCGGUCGUGUUUGAUUGUUAUCAGUGGUUUUGAGACCAGAGCUGAUUUAUUAUUGCUCAGUAUGGCGGAUUUCGAUAUUUUUUUGGACAUGGACUGGUUGUCGCCCUAUCACGCUAUCCUUGAUUGUUACGCCAAGACGGUGAUGUUGUCUAUGCCAGGUCUACCUCGGCUAGAGUGGAAAGGUACCUUAGAUUAUGUUCCUAUCAAGGUUGUUUCAUUACUUAAGGCUCAAUGAAUGGUUGAGAAGGGAUGUGAUACGUAUUUGGCCUAUGUGAGAGGUAUUAGUGUUGAUACUCCUACCGUGGAGUCAAUUCCUGUAGUAAAGGAUUUUUCUGAUGUAUUUCCAGCGGUAACUUCCAGGUAUGCCACCCGACAGGGAUAUUGACUUUGGCAUUGAUUUAUUACCGGGCACUCAGCCCAUUUCUAUUCUACCAUAUCGUAUGGCCCCAACAGAAUUGAAAGAAUUAAAAGAGCAGUUACAGGAGUUGCUUGAUAAGGGUUUUGUUCGGCCUAGUGUAUCGCCUUGGGGUGGUCCUGUCUUAUUUGUGAAGAUGAAGGAUGGUUCUAUGCGGAUGUGUAUUGAUUGCCGCUAGUUGAACAAGGUUACAGUGAAGAACAAGUAUCCAUUGACUCAUAUUGAUGACCUAUUUGAUCAGCUUCAGGGUGCCAAAGUGUUCUCUAAGAUCGACUUGCGGUCAGGCUAUCAUCAGUUGAAGAUUCGGGAGCCAGAUAUCCCGAAGACUGCUUUCUGGACUCGGUAUGGUCAUUAUGAGUUCCUUGUAAUGUCAUUUGGGCUGACCAAGGCCCCAACAUCAUUUAUGCACUUAAUGAACAGUGUAUUUCAACCCUAUCUUGAUUCUUUCGUCAUUGUGUUUAUUGACAACAUUCUGGUGUAUUCCCGGAGUCGGGAGGAUCAUGAGCAACACCUGAGGACUGUGCUUCAAACUUUGAGAGAAAAUAAGUUAUACGCAAAAUUUUCAAAGUGUGAAUUCUGGCUUGAUUCAGUGGGAUUCUUGGGUGAUAUAGUUUCGUGCGAAGGGAUCAAGGUAGAUUCGAAGAAGAUUGAGGCAGUGCAGAGUUGGUCCAGACCUUCCUCAGCUACAGAGAUUCGGAUUUUCCUUGGUUUGACAGGGUAUUAUCGCCGAUUUGUAGAGGUUUUCUCUUCUAUUGCUGCAUCUAUGACCAAAUUGACCCAGAAGGGUGCUCCGUUCAGGUGGACCGAGGAAUGUGAAGAGAGCUUUCAAAAGCUCAAGACAGCUUUGACUACAGCCCCAGUAUUGGUAUUGCCUACAGGUUCAUGGUCUUAUACUAUGUAUUAUUAUGCAUCGCGUAUUGGUCUCGGCGCAGUGUUGAUGCAAGACGGUAGGGUGAUGACCCCUAUCUACUUGUCCUUAAGGACACAGUUCAACACGGUGAUGCCAAAGAAGUCACUAUUGGGGAUGACGAUGUAUUACAGAUGCAUGGCAUGCUAUGUGUGCCUAAUGUAGAUGGUUUGCGUGAGUUGAUUAUCUAGGAGGCUCACAGCUCGCGGUACUCCAUUCAUCCAGGCACCGCGAAGAUGUAUUAGAAUUUGAGGCAACACUAUUGGUGGAGGUGGAUGAAGAAAGACAGUGAAGUAUGUCGCCCGGUGCCUAAAUUAUCAACAGGUGAAAUAUGAGCAUCAGCGACCGGGUGAAAUCAUUAUGGAUUUUGUUGUUGGGCUCCCACGGUCUCAGAGGAAGUUCGAUACAGUUUGAGUGAUUGUGGAUAGAUUGACCAAGUCAUCUCAUUUCAUUCAUGUGGUUACUAUUUACUCUUCGGAGCAGCUGGAUCAGGUUUACAUUCGCGAGAUCGUCAGGCUUCAUGGCGUCCCAGUAUCUAUCAUCUCUGGCCGGGGUACGCAAUUUACGUCAUGGUUUUGGAGAGCCGUAUAGCGUGAGUUGGGUACUCAUGUGGAGUUGAGUAGAGUAUUUCACCCUCAGACGGACGGACAGUCCGAAAGUAUUAUUCAAAUAUUCGAGGAUAUGCUUCGUGCGUGUGUGAUUGAUUUUGGGGGUGCUUGGGAUCAGUUUCUGCCACUUGUAGAAUUUUCUUACAAUAACAGCUGUCAAUCGAGCAUUCAAAUGACUCCAUAUGAGGCUUUAUAUGGGAGACGGUGUCGGUCUCCGGUGGGUUGGUUUGAGCCGGGUAGGUCUAGGCUAUUGGGUACUGAUUUAGUGCAGGAUGCUUUGGAAAAGGUUAGAUUUAUUCAGGAUCGACUUCGCACGAUGCAGUCUAGACAGAAGAGUUAUGCCGACUAGAAGGUCCGUGAUGUUGCUUACAUGGUUGGGGAGAAAGUUCAACUCAAGAUUUCACCCAUGAAGGGUGUGUUGAGGUUCAGAAAGAAGGACAAGUUGAGUCCUAGGUAUAUUGGGCCUUUUGAAAUACUUAAGAAGAUUGGAGAGGUGGCUUAUGAACUUGAGUUGCCGCCUAGUCUAUCGGGUGUUCAUCCAGUGUUCCAUGUAUCGAUGCUCCGGAAUAUGUCGGGGAUCCGUCUCAUGUUUUGGAUUUCAGUACAGUACAGUUGGAUGGUAAUUUGACGUAUGCUAUGGAGCCGGUGACCAUUUUAGACCGGCAGGUUUGAAAGCUGAGAUCAAAGAACAUAGCUUCAAUGAAAGUGCAGUGGAGAGGCCAGCUAGUCGGAGAAGCUACAUUGAGCGGGAGAUGUAGAUCAAAUAUCCACACCUAUUUGAGGCUUUAGGUAUGAUUCUAAACCCGUUCGAGGACGAAUGUUUGUUUAAGAGGGGGCGAAUAUAACAACCCAGCCAGUCGUUUUGAGUAUUACAACCUCGUUCCCUCAUUUAUUGCUUAUCAUGUGUUCAAUUAUAAUAAUAUGACUUGCCGGGGGAAUUUCAAAGUGAAAUGGAACACUUAGUUCCAAGACUAAAAGCUUAAGUUGAAAUAGUUGAUCGGAUGUUGACUUAUAUGUAAACGAUCCCGGAAGAGGGUUUUGAUUGUUCCAAUAGCUCCGUAUGGUGAUUCUGGACUUAGGAGCGUAUCCAGAAAAUUAUUUGGAAGUCCGUAGUUCAAUUAGGCUUGAAAUGGCUAAAAUAGAAAUUUAAGUUUUGAAGUUUGACCGGGGAGUUGACUUUUUUAUAUCGGGGCCGGAAUCCGAUUCUGGAAAUUUGAAUAGAUCCGUUAUGUUAUUUAUGACUUGUGUGCAAAAUUUGAGGUCAAUCGGACUUGAUUUGAUAGGUUUCGGCAUCGAAUGUAGAAGUUGAAAAUUCUUAAGUUUCAUUAAGCUUGAAUUGGGGUACGAUUCGCGAUUUUAGUGUUGUUUGAUGUGAUUUGAGAUUUUGACCAAGUUCGUAUGAUGUUUUAGGACUUGUUGGUAUAAUUGGUCGAGGUCCUGGGGGCCUCGGGUGAGUUUCGGAUGGUUAGCGGAUAACUUUUUGGACUUGGAAUUUUGCUGGAACUUUCUGAAGUCUGAACCUGGUUUCCUUCUACGCGAUCGCGUGAGAAGGUCCGCGAUCGCGUGAAAAGGUCCGCGAUCGCGUGAGAAGGUCCGCUAUCGCAUAGGCUUUGCUGAGCAGAAGAGAAAUUGCCCUUCGCGAUCGCGUGAAUAGGGCUGUGAUCGUGUAGCUUUGGACGCCAGUGCAUCGCGAACGCGUGGGUAAUGUCGCGAUCGCGUAGUGUAUAGGAGGCAGAAGCUGGGCCACGUGCUUUGUUCUUCGCGAUCGCGUGGACAAGUUCGUGAUCGCGUAGGGUUGAGGAAGCUGUGCUUCGCGAUCGCAUGAAGGAGUCCGCGAUCGUGUAAGGUAAAAAUUUUGGCAGGGGAAAAUUGUUCUUCGCGAUCGCGUGAGUUAGUCUGCGAUCGCAGAGAAAAAAUCAUUGGGCAUAAAGUUUAAGUUCUGAAAAUCCAUUUUUACCGAUUUGGAGCUCGGAGAGAGGCGAGAUUUGGGAGAUUUCAAGAAAAAUAACGGGGUAAGUGUUCUUAACUCAAUAUUGGUUAAAUUACCCGAAUCCGUGGUUGUUUUUAACAUUUAAUUGGUGAAUUAAGUUGGAAGAUUUAGAAAACCCUCUUAGUUUAAAUUGAAGAUUUGAGGGUCGAGAUGAUGUCGGAAUUUGGUAAAUUUUAUAUGGUUGGACUCGUAGUUGAAUUGGCGUUCAUAUUUUGUAACUUUUGUCGGGUUCUGAGACGUGGACCCCACGAGCGAUUUUUAAGUUAAAUUUCGAAUUUUGUUGAAAAAUCUGAAUUUUCAUAUGGAAUUAAUUCCUAUAAUUUGUGUUGACUUAAUCAAAUUAAUUGUGACUAUAUUCGAGCCGAUCGGAAUCAAAAAAUCGAGGGAAAGGCAUUCUUAUUGUCUGAUUGAGCUUGGCUUGAGGUAAGUGGCUUGUCUAACCCUGUGUGGGGAAAAUCCUCUUAGGAUUUGAUAUUGUUGUAACAUUUUGUGAUAUGUGAGCGCCGUGUACGCGAGGUGACGAGUGCUUACACGGGAUAAAUUUGGAAAUAUAGGUUCUUGCUGAGUAGUCUUCUUUUAAAUUCUUUAUCUGAGUUAUUUUAGUAUAUGUAGUGAUCAUGCUUAGUCUAGUACCACAUGUCUACGUGCCCUAACUCUUACUUGCAAUAUGUGCAACAUGCUUAGCUGAAUUACCUGCUUAUUUUAUUUGAUUUAAAUCUUUAACUGUGAGAUUCUUGCUGUAAAUGUGUUGUUCCCUUCGGAUAUCUGUUGUAUAUUUACUUUUGGGACUACGAGGCGGUUCCUCGGGAGAUCCCCCUGUACUGCAUAUUUACUUUGGGACUACGAGGCGGUACCUCGGGAGCGCCCAUGUUGUUUACCUCUAUUUGUUGUGUUGUUCACUUCUCAAUCAUUUCAUUAUAUUAUUAUAUCCUCUAUCUUACUUUUCUAUUAUUUUCAGUAGGGCCUGACCUGACCUCGUCACUACUCUACCGAGGUUAGGCUUGGCUCUUACUGGGUACCGCUGUGGUGUACUCAUACUACACUUCUGCACAUCUUUUUGUGCAGAUCCAGGUACUUCUUACCAGCCCAGAUAUCAGUGAGCUACCUGUGUGCGGAGAUUUCAAGGUACAUCUGCCAGCGUCUGCAGACCUCGGAGGUCCCCCUCUAUCCUUAUCAUGUCAUUUUCCUUAUUUUAGUAGACUCUGAUGUAUAGAGACAUUAGUAUUUCUCUUAUAAGCUUGUGACUUGUUUCUACCGGAUUUUGGGAGAUUGUAGUUCUUUGACUUGCAGUUUUCAUUUAUUACAACUAUUGAGGUUUGGGUUUCAGACUCUUAUUUUGUUAUUCUGCAAUUUGUUAGGCUUACCUAAUCUUAGAGACUAGGUGCCAUCACGACAUCCUACGGAGGGUGAAUUGGGGUCGUGACAAGUGGACUACCAGAACUCCCAUCUGAUAGGGAAUGGGGUAGCUUUCCAAUUCUGGAGCUUGGCAUCUGGGCCCAUAUGCUGCACCUCGGCAUUGCUUGUGCCUUCCCCUGGCUGGACCAUGUGAAACUCGUAUAUCAUUUGUUUUAUGGCUUCACAAAUAUCAUCAAUUUCUUUGGUCGUGAAGGCCUCUUCUUCUUCUUCCACAUAUUUUGGUUUGACAAAUGAUUGGGCGAGAUGUAGAAUAGUCCGGGACAUGACCCACCCUUUCAUGACAAAUGGCAAUAUUUUUACAACCUUGAUACAGAACAACCCAGAAACAUUCCCAAAACCCGGUGUCGCGAAUGCACGGGCAUCUACUAGGAAGUAACUAAAAUACAUCAUCUGUCCGAAAUACAAAUUAGACAGGAAAAAUACAAAUAACUCUGGAGUAGACUCUGUUGGUUGCGGAUCUAAUCUGAAAUGCAGCUCGCGGCAAGUCCCCGCAUCAUCCGCGCCUCCGUGCCCAAAGGACCACCGGAUAUAAAAGUACCUGCACAAAAAUGUGCAGCAAGUGUAGUAUGAGUACGUAAAUCCACGUGUACCUAGUAAGUAUCUAGACUAACUCCGGAGGAGUAGAGACGAGGGGUCGACAUCUGCACUCACUAGUGGUCCAAUAAUAUCAGGUACAGUAAGGAGGUGAACAAAUAUGAGGCAGAGUAAAUAAAUGAAAUAAACAAGUGUAAAUAUAUGGUACAAUUAUCCCCCUUACAAUAAACUCAAGCUCUUAAUUAGAAAUUUCCUCCUCAACCGGAGCAUAUAUAUAUAUAUAUAAUAUGGACCUCACCAAAUAGGUUGUUAUAAUUCGAAUCAGGGAAAAUCUCACAGAUACUCUGGCUUCUUGCCAAAUAUUACGCACGAUUCCAUGAGGAUAUUUUUAUAAAAAUGUCGAGGCGUACGCCCCGAUCCAACAUAAAUAUUAAACUAUGCACUGCCGAGAGUCGAACGACACGAACCAUAGAUGCAUCUAUUAAACUGCCGAGGCGAACGGCCCGAUCCCAUUAGAAUAAGAAGUUUGAACGGGUCCUUGACCCCCAUUCACGAAUGAACAUGAGAGUUAUAAUUUUUUAAAGGAAAAUUAUUCGAUGACAACGUAUAACGCGCGAGAAAUCCGUAAGAGGAACACCAUUAUUCCGUGGCAAAUCAUAAAACUCGCGAAAACUCUACAAUAGCAAGUCCAUGCGAAAUAGAAGAAUUAGACAAGCAAGGAUAAUCCCUAUAGUACAAGUACAACAUGAUGUAAACCUAAGUCUACCCGGACAAUAACAUGAAUCUAACUACGUAUGGACUCUCGUCACCUCGUGCGUAUAUAGUCCCCGAAACAAGUUACAAAUAUUAAAUAUAUCACAUAGGGGUAGUUUCCUCCACACAGAGUUAGACAUGAGACUUACCUCGCUCUGAAGUUCCGAAACCGGCUCCAACGCCGCUCUAACACCUCAAACCGGUUCCCGUCGCUCCAAAACUAGUCAAACAAUGUGCAAACCCAUAAAAAUACACUCUAAUACUCAUAACAAAUCAAUUUAAACAAGUUCACAACUCCACUCGAAAAGUCGAUAAGGCAACUCUGGGGUCCACGAUCCCAGAUUCCGAAAAUAUUCGAAGAUAACCAUUACCCAUAACAUUACGAACUCAAAUAUAAAAUUUAUUCUCAAUUCCAAGACCAAUUUCGUGGUAAAAAUCCAAAAAUACCGAUUUCUAGGUUAUUUUUUAAAAUUCUAAAUUUCUACAAAUUUUCAUGCUUGAAUCCAUAUAAAUCAUGUUUUUAACUCACAUUGUGAAGAAAUCACUUACCCCAUAAUAGCUGAUGAAGAUGGCACUCCAAAAUCGGCUCCCAUGGACGAAAUGAUAUGGAAUUGAUCCAACCCCUUUGUUUAAAAAGAACACUGCGCAGCCCGACUACCGCACCUGCGGCCGCUUCACCGCAUCAGUGGUCUCGCAGGUGCCGCCAAAACCUCGCACUUGCGCAUACCCUCUGCCCAGCACAGCUCCACACCUGCGAUGCCAAAUGUGCCCCUGUGGUCUCGCUUAUGCGGAGACCUUCCGCUUCUGCGACUCCAGCUGCCCAGCUCGCAUUCCGCUUCUGCAAAGCUUUCCUCUCAUCUGUGGGCUCGCAGAUACGGAAACAUCCUCGCAUCUGCAACCAUCCCAGCUCCAUCCAAAUGUCGCUUCUGCGACCAAAUCGCCGCACCUGCGGGCUCGCACCUGCGGCCCUUCUCACGUAGGUGCGAUUGCACCAGAUAUAAGCUGCCUCAACACUUCUUCCAAGUCCAAACUCGAUCCGUUAACCAUCCGGAAUCCACCCGAGGCCCUCGGGAUCUCAACCAAAUAUACCAACACGUCCCAAAACAUAAUAAGAACUUAGUCGAGGCCUCAAAUCAUUCCAAACAACAUCGAAACUACGAAUCACCCUCCAAUUGAAACCUAAUGAAAAUUGAAGCUUCAAACUUCUACAAUCGACGCCGAAACCUAUCAAACCACGUCCAAUUGACCUCAGAUUUUGCACUCAAGUAAUAAUUAACAUUACGGACCUACUCCAACUUCCGGAAUCAGAAUCCGACCCUGAUAUUAAAAAGUUCACUCCCGGUCAAACUUCUCAAAAAUCCUUCAAAUUUCUAACUUUCGCCAAAAGACCCCGAAAUGACCUACGGACCUCCAAAUCCACGUCCGGAUGCUCUCCCAAUACGAGAAUCAUGAUGCGGAGCUAUUCCUAGACUCGGAAUCCCAAAGGGACAUCAAUAACAUUGAAAAUGCACUUCAACCCAAAUUUAUGAAAUUCUUCCAAAAUGCCAACUUUCCACAAUAGGCGCCGAAAUGCUCCCGGGUCAUCCAAAAUCCGAUCCGAACAUACGCCCAAGUCCAAAAUUAUCAUAUGAACCUGUUGGAACCUUCCAAUCCCGAUGAUGAGGCCGUUUAUUCAAAAAUCAAACCUUAAUUAAUUCUUCCAACUUAAAGCUUCCGAAAUGAGAGUUUUCUUUCCAAAUCAACUCCGAACUUCCCGAAAUUUAAUUCCGACCACGCGCGCAAGUCGUAAUACCUGAAGUGAAACUACUCAAGGCCUCAAACCGCUGAACAAUGCGCUAAAGCUCAAAACGACCGGCCGGGUCGUUACAUUCUCUCCCACUUAAACAUACAUUCGUCCUCGAACGUGCUAAGAACUGCUCUGGAGUUGUCCGAAAUCACUGGUCAACACCUCGUGCACCUUCCGUGAUACCACAACCCAGUUGAGCACAUUAUCUUGAGCAAUCUGAAGAUUCUCCCUUUUAUUCAGUCAAGUUAGCCUUAGAGCCAAAUUCCAACAUCUGAAAUUCUCUACUAGGCCUGUUUCCAGCAUACGAACACCGUAUCAAUCAUUACAAACUGUACCAGACAUGAUUGUAUACCCUUACUGAAUUCACACCAUGUACCGCAUAAUUCACAUGACCAUAAUAACGUCCUCUGAUAACAAUAGCCGAAAUCCCACGAAUCUGAUGUCCACAACGCACCUCAUAACAUAUAUAAGUCCUAUUCCAACUCCUGCGAUGCCGCCACGACGGAAGAGAUGUGUAGAAAUUCAUAACCAACUACCAAGUCUACAAAUCAUCGACUCUCUCCUCUUGACAAGAACCAUCACCUCAUUAUGAACCAAUAACGAUAUUUUCUCUUUAAUGUGUCUCAUAUAAAUCUGAUCGCACCGAUCCUAGGUUCAAUGAUCUCGUCUCACCCAGCAUAAGUUGUUCAGGAAAUAAGCCAUCUCAAACACUGCCAAAAGUUUCAUAUGAUGCCACAAGGUGCCAACAAACUACAAACUCGAAAGUGAUACAUAAGGAAACGAACUUUGGAAAGAGCUACUCUACCCACGUAACUAGUUAAACAACCAAAAGGAUGUUAUGAACCUUCCUCAGAAAGUGAGAAACAGAGCACACAAUAAUAGAUAUGGGAAACUGUACUCAACAUAACUCUGUUGUGGAGUGCAACCCGAUCCACACAUGAUACCGUUGCGGCAUGUAACCCGAUCCAACCAUAAUACCCGUGGCGUCGUGCCACCCGAUCCAAACAACAUCUCCAUGGCGGCAUGCCACCCGAUCCACACAUAAUAAUAAAUAGGGAAAUACCCAUCAAGCAAGAAAUGUUUAUACCUACGAAAUACCCGAAUAUCAACCACAAGCACGCGAAGUGCAUAAUACAAAUCCUGGGGAGAUAGAUAGCACCAUACGCUACAAAACUCAAGCACGACUAAGGUGCGAUAAAUGACCUGCAUCUCGAGAGCCAUCCUGCUUAUAUGACACCGUAAGCUACACAGGAUCUCAACACAUGUGCGAAUAAUCAAACCAUCUCACAACCCACACAGCACAAUAGAGUAUUUCAUGAAAUAGCUGACGACGAAAAUAACAUCCAAUGCCCGAACGCUCCUCCAUAAGGAAUGCUAUGCUGAAUGAACACACCCAGGUUGGUGUAGAGCACACAUUCACAUUUAGAUCCAUCCAAGGACCUCAAGCCGAUUCUGAUCGUACCGAACUGGGCUAAUAACCUCCCAAGGAUCUACAACAACCCUAUUCGUGACAUAUAAGAGCAGCCUUCCAAUCCGGAACAAACUCCCACAGUUCACAACCAAAUGAAUAGAGCACCUUCCAGGCCUAAACUCUCACAUUAGCGAUAGUACCAUAAUCUCCAUACUCGGUUUCAAUCUUUAAUCAAUCAAGUGACUAUAUGUCACACUUACACAAUCUUCCCGUGGGAUACACCUUCACAACUUUUCGCCCCAAGUAGCAAAGUCGGCAUGUUCAUACCACCGACCAUACUAGUGUUGUAAAGAAAAUCGAGAACCCGCAAAUCAGUACACAAAUACUCUUACACAGGACACCAUUCUCAAGUGACGCUAAAGAAAAUACCAGCUUACCCUAAUCAUCUAAAUUAUUUCCUGCUCAUCUGAGCUCGUGACAUUCUUGUCAACACCGAACCACAACUUCCAAUUCCUAUGCUGCUCACUGCACCUAAGCUGCCACUAUGCGAGAGUACAGGAAUUUUACCAUAACUCCUGAACCACUAAUAGAAUAAACACUUCAUCAUAUAGAAACUUUUCACCUAACUCAUUUCAGGAGAACCAUUGCAACACGCAACUGAAUUCCCAUAAACGCAGAAAAUACAAUCUCCAAGUUGUGGUCUAAACUACCAUAACUCUUCCGGGAUCCAUCUACACAUAACCGGCUAUAAUAAUCGAAUGCCUCCAAUUAACUCAAAUUACGGCGGCCAUCAAGCCUCGCACGUACCGCCACAAAUCACCUGCAUAACUUAACACGUUGAAGGAACUGAUCAUUGCCACCACCAUGCCGAUUCAACCAUUGUUAACCAAACUAACUUCUUCUAAUUUACUCUGGACUUGCCCUAGAAAUAAUAAUAGCUCCAUUCAAAACAUAACGAACUCAAUCCGAACUCAUCCUGAGUGACCCCAUUUUAUGAGACCACACUGUCUCAAAAUCCACGAACUAUCUCAUACCCUCCUUGUGCGCACAUUCGCAUCUUCAACUGGUAUACCUAUUCUGGUAAUUCCUCUAUAAAUCCGAAGUUAUUUUCUCCCAUAUAUCCAAUGUUGUACCACAGACCAAUGAUAACAUAGAACACUCCAAGUCCCUUUCAUAGUCCACUACAAAAGCUCGAUACUUAACCACACCACGAACUCGAAACCCUUGGGCACCACACUUUAACUUUUUUUUUGAACUCACUAGGACCGUUGUUGAGAGUCACCCACUCUGACUUGGUCACAGAUAUAAUCAACUAUAGGGCGUUGCUAGCACGUGAACACCCUAUCAGGGAAGCAUAAACUCUAAGUCUUCCCAAAACCUGAACAUGAAUCGAUAAGACCAAAUGCAGCACAUAUUCCUCAAAUCCUUUGCUCGAAUUACCAUUGAUGUUUUUCUUUCCUUAGUCAUAAUAAUCCACCAACACACCGAUGAUCAGAAUCCACACUGUAUGCGAUCAUACCGGUACUAACGCACCGGAUCCCAUCAGAACUCUGCACAAGCAGAUAACCACGCGAUCCAAUCGCAGACGGUGGGCUCCCCCAUUUAGCUUUAAGCUACCAUCACAAAAUAUAGAGCCCACAACGAUUCUUCCUUCUCAAAUACCAUGAUCUCGCAUCGUCAACCCACAAAAUUCUUGCCAUCCCAUAUUAAACUUUGCAUAAAUAUUCUGAACCAUCAUCCACAACUGCACAUUCGACCUCUUGCUGGGUAGUAAGUAGAACUCUUUGUAGAAACUUUAUCGAAAUCAUGCAACCGCUGACCUGCUCACAGGAGAUAACCUACAUGUGGAAAUUUCCAUACCGACAUCUUCCAACGACACUGCUCUUGGUACAAUUACUAUGAAAUCAAUAAACCAUUUUGAGCCUGUGCUCCUCCACCAGCUGUGUAAGUUCAUUCACUCCCCAUUGACAUCAACUACAGGUGCGACAAUACAUUCCAAUCUGAAGUCAUGUUGCAUCCCUCUCCAUAUCAAGCAACUCCUUCCUGUCGUAUCCAAUUUUCUUCAGUGUUGUAGCCAAUAUUCCAAAUUAGUCCAUAGACCUAGUCACUGUCCACCAUAAAUCCCAAAUCACUCUAAACUUUCCCCAAGGCGUGCAACUAUCCUACCAUAGAACCCAUAUGCUACUCUGCCACUCUCCCACUUUGGUCAAACCCUCUCCUUUAAGCAACUACCCGACUCCUAUUUUUUACACCUGGCCUUCUACAAAUUGAACCACCGCAAGAUGCCUCCCACAUGUCUUUCCUCAUCCUUCGCUGCCCAGUUGUUGCCUUAAAUAAAUAAUCCAUCUCUGUAGCACCUAGAUUAAUAAAUCUCUACCAACUUUAAACCUCCCCGAAGAUCAUCUUUCUCGAGCCAUCAACACUAGGAACACCGAUUCAAUUCUGAACCACUGCGCACCGCACUUUCUGACACCUGCUUCACUGGCACCAUUUCACAAUACCCCGCCCCAAGGGCGAAUUGAAAAAAACCAUAAUACCGGCGAACUUAGCACAUUCCACAAGGACAACGACACCACAUAACAGAUGAAAAUUCCACCACGCUCGAAAAUACCAAGUCUCGUUACUCCAUCAACCUAAAUCUGAACAUUCUUAGUCCAAUUGCCUUUCCUCUGCCGGAAAUAAAAUACUGAAUCUCUGAAUCAUGCACUGAGAAAAAUCUCCUUUCAGGUCAUUCAUUGCCUCGACAAACAUCCUACCAUUACAUCAUUACUGUGCGAUAACAACUUACGAACAUCAUGGAAACCAGCUACUGAGCCGAAAUGACAUAACACCCUUCCGCAAGGAGACAAUAAUGACUUGCUCGAAUUCGCAGGGAGAAACACCCUGCCCCACGUCUGUAGUACCACUACAACUCCUCGAUGCCCAAUUGACACGAGCGCUGAACAUCGUAUAAGAAUGAGUAGGAAGGAUAUAAAGGUAUAAGCCUCAAAGGAAUCAAAUCGCACGGUGGGAAAUCAAGAAAGGGAAGUGCUUCUAAUAGCCUUGUAGCCUCUCGAAGAAAAGUACAGACGUCUCCACACUGAUGCACAAGACUCUACUAGACUUGCUCAUGACUCGUGGGACUUAAAUAAAUCUAACGCUCUGAUACCAUGUUGUCAUGACCCAAAAUCCAUUAAAUGAUGGUGUUAGAGCGCCUAACACCACUGUCAGGCAAGCCAACAAUAAAAGUUUAACUUAAUUACUCAUUUUAGUAAUUUUGAAAUCAUAAAUUUCCUUCAAUUAAAUGGUAAGAGGUAAAAUUUACAAAAUAAAUGGCAAUAUUUUUACAACCUUGAUACUGAACAACCCAGAAGCAUUCCCAAAAUCCGAUGUCACGAAUGCACGAGUAUUUACUAGGAAAUAACUAAAAUACAGCAUCUGUCCGGAAUACAAAUUAGACAGAAAAAUACAAAUAACUCCGGAGGAGACUCUGCUGGUUGUAGAUCGUAACCUGAACUAUAGCUCGCGGCAAGUCCCCGCAUCAUCCGUGCCUCCGUGCCCAAAGGACCAUUGGACAUAAAAGUACCUGCACAAAAAUGUGCAGCAAGUGUAGUAUGAGUACGUUAAUCCACGUGUACCCAGUAAGUAUCUAGCCUUAACCCCGGAGGAGUAGAAAUGAGGGGUCGACAUCGACACUCACUAGUGGUCCAAUAAUAUCAGGUACAGUAAGGAGAUGAACAAAUAUGAGGCAGAAUAAAUAAAUGAAAUAAACAAGUAUAAAUAUGUGGUACAAUUAUCCUCCUUACAAUAAACUCAAGCUCUUAAUUAGCAAAUUCCUCCUCAACCAGAGCAUAUAUAUAUAUAUAUAUGUGUGUGUGUGUGUGUGUGUGUGUGUGUGUGUGUAUAAUGGACCUCACCCAAUAGGUUGUUAUAAUUCGAAUUAGGGAAAAACUCACAGAUACUCUGGCUUCUUGCCAAAUAUUACGCAUGAUUCCAUGAGGAUAUAUUUGCCGAGGUGUACGGCCCUAUCCAACAUAAAUAUUAAACUGUGCACUGCCAAGGGUCGAACGACACGAAUCAUAGAUGCAUCUAUUAAACUACCGACGCAAACGACUCGCUCCCAUGAGAGUGUGGUACAUAAUUCCUGCCGAGGAGAACGACCCGAUCCCAUUAGAGUAAGAAGUUUGAACGGAUCCUUGACCCCCACUUACAAAUGAACAUGUGAGUUAUAAUUUUUUUAACGAAAAUUAUUCGAUGACAACGCAUAACGCGCGAGAAAUCCGUAAGAGGAACACCAUUAUUCCGUGGCAAAUCAUAAAACUCGCGAAAACUCUACAAUAGCAAGUGCAUCACUCUACGCAUGUCUAGUCUCAAGCCAUAAUGCAAAAUAGAAGAAAUAGACGAGCAAGGAUAAUCCCUAUAGUACAAGUACAACAUGAUGUAAACCUAAGUCUACCCGGACAAUAACAUGAAUCUAACUACGUAUGGACUCUCGUCACCUCAUGCGUACGUAGUCCCCACAACAAGUUACAGAUAUUAAAUAUAUCACCUAGGGGUAGUUUCCUUCUCACAGAGUUAGACAGGAGACUUACCUCGCUCCGAAGUUCCGAAACCGGCUCCAACGCCGCUCUAACACCUCAAACCGGUUCCCGUCGCUCCAAAACUAGUCAAACAAUGUGCAAACCCAUAAAAAUACACUCUAAUACUCAUAACAAAUCAAUUUAAACAAGUUCCCAAAUCCGCUCGAAACGUUGAUAAGGCAACCCUCGGGCUCACGUGCCCGAAUUCCGAAAAUAUUCGAAGAUAACCAUUACCCAUAACAUUACGAACUCAAAUAUAUAAUUUAUUCUCAAUUCCAAGUCCAAUUUCGUGGUCAAAAUCCAAAAAUACCAAUUUCUAGGUUUUUCUUCAAAAUCUCAAAUUUCAACAAAUUUUCAUGCUUGAAUCCAUACAAUAAUCAUGUAUUUAACUCACAAUGUGAAGAAAUCACUUACCCCAUAAUAGCUGAUGAAGAUGGCACUCCAAAAUUAGCUCCCAUGGACGAAAUGAAGUGGAAUUGAUCCAACCCCUUUGUAUUAAAAGAACACUGCCCAGCCUGACUACUGCACAUGCGACCGCUUCACCGCAUCUGCGGUCUCGCAGGUGCAGCCAAAACCUCGCAACUGCGCAUACCCUCUUCCCAGCACAGCUCCGCACCUGCGAUGCGAAACGCGCCUUUGCGGUCUCGCACAUGCGGAGACCUUCCGCUUCUGCGACUCUAGCUGCCCAGCUCGCAUUCCGCUUUUGCAGAGCUUUCCUCGCAUCUAUGGGCUCGAAGAUGCGGAAAUAUCCUCGCAUCUACGACCAUCCCAGCUCCGUCCAAAUGUCGUUUGUGCGACCACAUCGCCUCACCUACGGGCUUGCUCCUGCGACCCUUUUCACACAGGUGCGAUUGCACCAGAUAUCAGCUGUCUCGGCACUUCUUCCAAGUCCAAACUCGAUCCGUUUACCAUCCAGAAUCCACUCGAGGCCCUCGGGACCUCAACCAAAUAUACCAACACAUCCCAAAACACAUUACAAACUUAGCCGAGGCCUCAAAUCACGCCAAACAACAUCAAAACUAUGAAUCACCCUCCAAUUCAAAUCUAAUGAACUUUGAAUCUUCAAACUUCUACAAUCGAUGCCGAAACCUAUCAAACCAUGUCCAAUUGACCUCCGAUUUUGCACAAAAGUCAUAAUUGACAUUACGGACCUACCCCAACUUUCAGAAUCGGAAUCCGACCCCGAUAUCAAAAAGUCCACUCCCGGUCAAACUUCUCAAAAACCCUUCAAAUUUCUAGCUUACGCCAAAGGACCCCGACAUGACCUACGGACCUCCAAAUCCACAUCCGGACGCGCUCCCAAUACCAUAAUAACCAUACGGAGCUAUUCCCAUACUUAGAAUCCCAAAGGGACAUCAAUAACAUUGAAAAUGCACUUCAACCCAAAUUUAUGAAAUUCUUCCAAAACGAUAACUUUCCACAAUAGGCGCCGAAAUACUCCCGGGUCAUCCAAAACCCGAUCCGGACAUACGUCCAAAUCCAAAAUCAUCAUACCAACUUGUUGGAACCUUCUAAUCCCGAUUCCGAGGUCGUUUACUCAAAAAUCAAACCUUAGUCAAUUCUUCCAACUUAAAGCUUCCAAAAUGAGAGUUUUCUUUCCAAAUCAACUCUGAACUUCCCGAAAUUCAAUUCCGACCACGCGCGCAAGCCAUAAUACAUGAAGUGAAACUAAUCAAGGACUCAAACCGCUGAACGACGUGCUAAAGCUCAAAACGACCGGUCGGGUCAUUACAUAGGGUCUCCACUCCCUAGUCUGCCUUUCCAACAUAGGGUCUCCACUCCCUAGUUGAUUUUAUUUUAGACAUAGGGUCUCCACUCCCUAGUCUCCUUUCCAACAUAGAGUCUCUACUCCCUAGUUGAUUUUAUUUUNNNNNNNNNNNNNNNNNNNNNNNNUUUCAGACAUAAGGUCUUCACUCCCUAGUCUCAUUUUCCAACAUAGAGUCUCCUCUCCCUAGUUGGUUUUAUUUCAGACAUAGGUUCUCCACUCCCUAGUCUCCUUUUCCAACAUAGUGUCUUCGCUCCCUAGUUGAUGUUAUUUCAGAUAUAAGGUCUCCACUCCCUAGUCUCCUUACUAGUAUAGGGUACACCAAUCCCUAGUUGUGUUUUCCAACUUAAGGUACACCAAUCCUUAGUUGAGGCACCAUUUAGACAAUCAGGAUACACCACUCCCUAGUCUUUGUUUUCCAGGGUACACGAAUCCCGACCUUUUAUUGCUUUCAAUAAUGAAGUAGUAUAGAGUUUUAUUUCAAACAAACUCACGAAAUUUUCCUAGUGAAACUGGGGCAGAAAAAUUUCGUUCGUCUAUUUGUUUUGGUCCCUGAGUAGGUUAUACCUCAAGGCACAUGGUUUGCGAUAACCAAAAGAAGAAGUCUCAAUCCAAAAUAAAUAAAAGAAAAAAAAAUAAGUGAAUCCAAAAUGCAGAAGCGGUUGAAAGGAUGCGGACUGCACACGACAUGAAUGAAGUCACGAGCAUCGCAUUUCCCGUUUUGAUCCGAAGAAGCCAUAGAAGAAUGAACUAGCAAUUGCAGCUAGCAAGCAUUAAGAUUCAGAUCUGAGUCUGCAUGAAGAACCAGCCAAGACUCAAGAUCAAUUUUCAGAAAACCUAUAAAUAUGUAUCUUGUAACUCAUAGCUGAUAGGCUUGUCUAGUUUCUUUUUCAUUUUGAUUUUGGUGUAAUAAGGAGUUUAACAAGCAGUAACACCAGCAACAGCAGUGAAAUCACAGCUUCUCGGUAGUCCUAGAUACCAAAACGCCCAGAACUACUUCGACCUGAUUCCUUUAUAGCCAAGGAUAUGUAGGCAACCUCUGAAGCAAGGUUUCGGUCAAACUUUUUCAAAAUGCUUCCAAAUGGAGUGUCAAACGGGCAAAAAUUGCUCACUUUAUCUUUGCCCGAAAAUUCUUCAUGUUUCCGAGCAAAGAGGGCAGCUGUGAGCACGUAAUUUUUUCCCUAUGAAAUACUCCUACAAAAAUUCACAAAAAAUGGAUUUUUCUAAUUGUUUUUGAUUUUAUAGUUUUUAGGAAUUCUUUUUUAAUUGUUUAUUUGCAUUGUAGUUGCAUUUCUUGUGCAUGUUAAAUAUCUUAAAAUCAUAGAAAAUACCAUAAAAAUGUCCAAUUCUUAAUUGCAUCGCAUUUUAGAUUUUAAUUGUAUUUUUUAGGAUUUAAUAACAUAUUAAUUACAUAAUUGAUAAAUGAAAAUAAAAAAAAUACCCUAGUCAUUUUACAUUUUUAGUUUCUGGUUUUCAAAUUAAUAAUUUUUUUAUUAGUUAUUGUUAAGGUAAUUAAUUAGUUAAUUAGAAGAUAAAGUAGUAAAAGGGUUAAUUUUGCAAUUUGAGUUCUAAGUGCUAUUUGAGUUUAAAGUGGCUAACAUUGCAAAAAUUAAAGAAGGGAAAGGAAGAGGUUAGUCUUUGUUGAAAACUGGGCUAAGAGCACAUUUGAAUAAGUGGCCCAAAUUUCCAAAUCCGUCUAAGUCCAAUCUUCCUAAAACCCGGUCCAGCUCCCAUUUAAACCCCAAACGACCCUGUUUCAGAUCCUUAAUCUUAGCCGUCCCUUGACUUUAAUACGAUGGUUCGGAACUGACCACCCACAUCCCAUAUAACUAUCUCAACCCCACCAAAAACCUAGAGACCAAACCUCAUUUCCUCAUCACCCUCAUCUCUCCCAUUCCCUACUCAAAACCCUAGCCAACCCUACACCCUCCACCGGCGACCAAGCUCCAAUCCACCCCAAAUCUUUACCCCAUGACCCUCAAAGCCUCCUCUUCCUUAACUCAUUUUUAUAUUCCCCUAAAGAGCCCUAGAACUCAUCCCAUAGCAGAUCUCAGAAUAGGUUAACCCCAAAUCUUUUCUUUCGAUUUCUGUCAUUCGGAGGAUGAACACAGCGAAUUCUAUUUUUCUCUCUGACUUUAGUAGUCAUUAGCACGUAUUCACUGGCCGAAUUCUAAAAGCACAAGGUCGGUGAUGACCACUGUUGGUCAGAGAAACCCUUGACCAAGCGAUUGUUGCAUUUUCAG
rnacentral:lncRNA from 1 species